GGCCAGACUCCUACGGGAGGCAGCAGUGGGGAAUAUUGCACAAUGGGGGAAACCCUGAUGCAGCAACGCCGCGUGAGUGAAGAAGGUUUUCGGAUUGUAAAGCUCUGUUAGCAGGGAAGAGGAAGGACGGUACCUGCAGAGGAAGCCACGGCUAACUACGUGCCAGCAGCCGCGGUCAUACGUAGGAUCCGAGCAUUAUCCGGAGUGACUGGGUGUAAAGAGUUGCGUAGGUGGCAUAAUAAGUAGCUAGUGAAAUCUGGUGGCUCAACCAUUCAGACUAUUAGCUAAACUGUUAAGCUCGAGACCGUUAGGGGUAACUGGAAUUUCUAGUGUAGGAGUGAAAUCCGUAGAUAUUAGAAGGAACACCAAUAGCGUAGGCAGGUUGCUGGGACGGUUCUGACACUAAGGCACGAAAGCGUAGGGAGCAAACGGGAUUAGAUACCCGAGUAC
rnacentral:rRNA from 1 species